CUGAAAACAGUAUGAAAAUGUUUCCGUCGUUCUGUCAAAAAAGGAUUUUAACAGUAGAAGAUUCAUACCAUUUAAUGCCAAGUGUACAAUAAAAACUGAAAUGAAAAUUGCCAACAGAAGUGUCAUGGUCUUGGUGGAAAAUACUGUGCUCUUCGUUGACCUCUGUUUAAUAAUGGCUGGUGAUAGAAAACUAUCAGGAAUGCUUCAAGCUGGCAAUGGACACUGAGAAAUCACAAGGUUUCAAACAUCUAGAAUAUGCUCACAGUCAGUCUUCUAGAUACUCACCUUAAAGGUUUCAGUGUGUUUUAGGAGACUUUUGUCAGAACAGAAUUUUAUACCUACAUACACUGGAGAUACCAGACCAAGCAGAUAAUUACAGAUAUAUUGACACAGAAUCUGAAAUUAAUUGCAUAUCCCAACACAACACAACAUAAGACUUUUAACUGUUAAAUAGGCAGUGAGGCAUUUGUGUAACCUUCAUUAUUUGAAAUGAAAUUUCUUAUAUUUAUUUUAAGUUUGACUUUGCAUUUAAAAGCGAUUAGCAUUAGAUUUUUCAAAUAUAUAUAUAUAUAUAUGUAU